rnacentral:tRNA from 1 species
GGGAAUGUAGCUUAAUGGUAGAGUGCUUGCCUAGCAUGCAUGAAGCCCUGGGUUCGAUUCCUUAGUACCA